rnacentral:tRNA from 1 species
GGGAGUGUGGCUCAGUGGAAAAGCACUUGCCUAGCAUGUCUGAGGCCCUGGGUUCUAUUCCCAGCACUACAA